GAUGAAGGAUGCUAGGAAGAGCGAUGAAAUGACAUACUUUUGCCGUGUGGAGCUGACUGGCUCAGACAAAUACACUUCUGAGGGACUACAUCUUAAAGUCACAGAGCCUUCAAAGCUUCACAGUAUCUUUGUUCGCAUUGACGAAUAUGGGAGACAGUUUGUGACGUGCACAGUCACUGGAAUCCCACCUCCUUCUGUGAUGUGGGUAGAGCCAAACAUAACAUCAGCUCCAGUUGUGGAUCAAUUGAGUGGCUAUGCAACUUCAUCUUCAGUUCCAGCCCAGGUCUUUAAUGCCACAUACACCUGUCAGAUCAGUACUAAGAAAGGGAAUCAAAGCCGCUCAAUUGUCCCUACAAGCUUAUACAACAAUAUGCCAUGUGACAAUAUGAAAAACAGCCAAUAUGAUUGGAAGUUGAUCUUGAUUCUGAUCAUUUGUGGUGUCAUUCUUGGUGUCUGUCUUGCUGCCACUACAUUUGCCAUAUGGCGUCUUAGAGGCAAAACAAAAGAACCUGAGGUGCAGCCCACAUAUGGCAAUGUGUUACCACCACCCAGGAAACAACAGAGGACGAAUAUCUACAAAGAGAUGAACUAGCCAUUUAUAUCCAAAGGCAGUUGGAUAAAAGACAUUAUUUAGCAUACAUUUUUUUUGUUUUGUUUUGUAUGACUU